rnacentral:rRNA from 1 species
AUUGAACGCUGGCGGCAUGCCUUACACAUGCAAGUCGAACGGUAACGCGGGGCAACCUGGCGACGAGUGGCGAACGGGUGAGUAAUGCAUCGGAACGUGCCCAGUAGUGGGGGAUAGCCCGGCGAACGCCGGAUUAAUACCGCAUACGACCUACGGGUGAAAGGGGGGGAUCGCAAGACCUCUCGCUAUUGGAUCGGCCGAUGUCAGAUGAGGUAGUCGGUGGGGUAAAGGCCUUCCAAGCCUACGAUCUGUAGCUGGUCUGGGAGGACGACCAGACACACUGGGACUGAGACACGGCCCAGACUCCUACGGGAGGCAGCAGUGGGGAAUUUUGGACAAUGGGCGCAAGUCUGAUCCAGCCAUGCCGCGUGCGGGAAGAAGGCCUUCGGGUUGUAAAGCCCUUUUGUUGGGAAAGAAAUCCUGUCGAUCAAUACUCGGUGGGGAUGACGGUACCCAAAGAAUAAGCACCGGCUAACUUCGUGCCAGCAGCCGCGGUAACAC